UUUACAAAUAUUAAGCUAAAGGAAUAAAACAAUAAAUUUGAUUCGAAACCAAUCGGACCUCAUGUCUGUAUUAUGUGGCGACUCUGUAUAACUUUGGUCUGAUCGCGUGGUCUCGUCCUGUAUCUUUCAAAUGUCAGCCUUAUCAAUUGCCAUUGCUAGGUUAUGCACCUACCAAGGUUGUAAUGGGUGAUGGGGAAUCACAGUUCAAUUCCAGAAAGAGAGCCUGUGAAAUAGCUACUACAUCCAAAGAAGGCAAAUGCACAAAUUACCCAUUCCCAAAACAGGGAGAUAGUGAUGAAAA
rnacentral:ncRNA from 1 species